CGUAGGGUUAGUAGUUAACCAUUGGUCAGUCGUUCAUAUACCGUCCUUUCGGCACAAUUAUAUAUGUCCUCUUUCAAGUGCUUCGUAUAUAUACUAGAGUUCGUUUCAGUUUCUCCUUAUUAUCGAUUAUAUAAAAUUAGUGCGAUACAACAUCGUAGUUAGUCAACAAAGAAGAAUUUUGCCUCUGUUGUCUUUUGUGUCGGUAGGAAAAUUCAUGAAUUUAAUAAUCGAAAUAAAAUACGCUUCAGAUUAAUUACAUAGGUAUCUUUGAAUGCGACAUAUAUAGUGUCGCAUGAUGUUCACAAUUAAAAUGAGAAAGUGCCGAAACGAUGGAGGAAUAAUAGCGGUUUGAAGCAAAAACUUAUCCUAUGCGCAUGAGUCAACAAGUUUGUAUCAAGUGUAGAUAACCUUAUACAAAUACUUGAAUACCAUAACCAAACUUGAUUAUCACUAAACUUCAAAAAUUGCGUAGAUGUGGCGAGAAAUAUAAAAACACAGCAGGUUAAAAUAGAUAAGAACCGAAACUAAUGUCGAUUAUACAAUCGAUGAUUAAGCAAAGCAACUGGAUCCAGGUUAUAGGUUAACGAGCGCCAACCACAAUUCAUGGAAACAAUACGAAAAGUAUGAAGAAAGGAAAGGAAACCAUAUUUUGGUGACUGGUUCAAUUACCAAGUAAAAUGGAGAUAAGAAGUUGGAAUGCUGCCUCCGAGACACCUAUGGUAUCGGAGAUGCUCGACAAUACACUGCCAGACAUUGCCAGUCCUUGAACUUGAUCUACUUCUAAAAUUAAAUAUUUAUAAUUUUUCGCAGAGAUACUGUAACUCGUCACCACCGAGGUUAUCAAAGUUUAAAACUAAAGAGACGAUCAGAAGGAGAAAAUGAACUUCACGUAAUGGUCAGAAAAGCGUUCGGAAAUACGCUCAAUUAACGUGGAGAAAUAUUCAACCGGGAGAUGUUUUCAAAGGAAGAAUUACGUUUUUAUAUUACAUAUCUACUUAUAAGUUACGAAAUCGUCAACAGUUUAGCUUCGAAUUUGUAUCUAUAAAAAACAGUCAACACUUCAGUUAAUUUAGGAACGCUCGUAAAUGCACAAGCAUGAACCCACCUGUCAUUAUGAUAUAGCGUCAUUUGUUACAGACUUAAUUUCGAUUUUGUUUCGGUUGCAUAUAUCAAUAGCAAAUUACAGAUUUGCAUAAUCAUGCACAGAAAUUUAAAAUUAUAAUACAUUUCUCAAAUUCUUUGUAAACAACUUGCCUUAAUUAAAAUAAAAGACUACGAUACAUGUUGCAAUAUAUAAAAUGACACCAUUGUAAAUUUAUUUGUAAUAAGUGUUUGUGUACGCAAAUGUAUGCACUUGUAAAUAGCUAAUAUAGUUAUAAAUAUUAAUGAUAGAAAAUAUAUCUUUUCAAUAUUUUA